rnacentral:rRNA from 1 species
UACGGGGGGGGCAAGCGUUGUUCGGAAUUACUGGGCGUAAAGGGCUCGUAGGCGGCCAACUAAGUCGGAUGUGAAAUCCCCAGGCUUAACCUGGGAACUGCAUCCGAUACUGGAUGGCUUGAAUCCGGGAGAGGGAUGCAGAAUUCCAGGUGUAGCGGUGAAAUGCGUAGAUAUCGGGAGGAACACCUAUGGCGAAGGCAGCUCGCUGGGACGUUACUGACGCUGAGACGCGAAAGCGUGGGGAGCAAACAGG